rnacentral:tRNA from 1 species
AGUAAUAUAGUUUAUAAAAAUAUUAAAUUGCAAAUUUAAUGAUUUCUUAAGAAAUCAUUAGAU